CCUCAGAUGCUUUCCUUUCCAUAUUUCUGAAAAAAAGAGAAAUGAAAUCCAACACAACGCCAGCCACCGUCGAAGCUUCCCUGUUUGGCCACUCCAAGCUUUCUACCUGAUUGAGACUCCAGAGGAUGGGAACAUAGAGGAAAAUCAGGGAAGACAUAGAAAAAAUGAACGAAAAUGAAAAAAAGAUAGAAAAAAGUUAAGGGUGAGAACUUUUCCCCACAUAGAUGAUCAUUUUUUCCCAUUUCGCUUCUUUUUCUUUUCAUUUCAUUAUCUGUU
rnacentral:lncRNA from 1 species